rnacentral:rRNA from 1 species
UACGUAGGUGGCAAGCGUUGUCCGGAUUUACUGGGUGUAAAGGGCGUGUAGCCGGGUUGACAAGUCAGAUGUGAAAUCCUGCGGCUUAACCGCAGAACUGCAUUUGAAACUGUUGAUCUUGAGUACUGGAGAGGCAGACGGAAUUCCUAGUGUAGCGGUGAAAUGCGUAGAUAUUAGGAGGAACACCAGUGGCGAAGGCGGCCGCCUGGCCUGUUACUGACGCUGAGGCACGAAAGCGUGGGGAGCAAAUAGG